rnacentral:rRNA from 1 species
UACGUAGGGUGCGAGCGUUGUCCGGAAUUAUUGGGCGUAAAGGGCUCGUAGGCGGUUUGUCGCGUUGUUCGUGAAAACUCACAGCUCAACUGUGGGCGUGCGGGCGAUACGGGCAGACUGGAGUACUGCAGGGGAGACUGGAAUUCCUGGUGUAGCGGUGGAAUGCGCAGAUAUCAGGAGGAACACCGGUGGCGAAGGCGGAUCUCUGGGCCUUGCCUGACGCUGAGGCGCGAAAGCUAGGGGAGCGAACAGG